rnacentral:lncRNA from 1 species
UGGAAUCAAGAUAUUUUCUUUAUUAUUAUUUUUUAUCUCUUUUUAUCUUUCUUCUAAUUUUAUUUUUUCUUUAUUUAAUUUUUUUAUCUAAUAUUUCUUUUAUUUUGUUUAUCUUUAUCUUCUUCUUUUGCAAUUUAUUAUUUUAUUUCACUAACAAUUUUUGUAUAGUUUUUAUAAGAACUAAUUUGUUAUAAAUAAAUUUUAAUUAGUUGGGAGACGACUCAAGGUUAACUUAGUCCUAUCUAAUUUUUUAACGGUUAACUUGGCA